AAAAAGGGCUUCUGCUGUGAGUGGCACAUGUAGAGCAGCUUGAUUGCUCUAUGUGCGGAAUUGACAUCAAGAGAUUUCGCAGCAUAAUAUUUUGGUACUUGGGCAGCUGGUGAUCGUUGUUCCUGGCUCCCGC